AUGCCCACAGCUCAAAAUAAUUUUUCAGCCACAGUGGCAUAUUCUGGACCCUUCAUCGCUAGAAACAAGCUCACUAGGAAGCAACUGCGGCCGUAUUCUACAGCCCCGCCUGCGUCUAGAGCGUCACGAAGUCGCAAGUCCCACCCCGGCCUCUUGCGCGCUCGCGUGGUUUCCGGGUCGACUGCAGCACCAACUCUUCUCAUCGGACUACUGAGUGGACUUCUGAUCGUCCCAAGCUCAUGGAUGCUGUGUCUUCUCAUUUCAGUCAUGCAGAGUAUGGUGUGUUUGGCCAAGCCUAGAUGGGUGAGUAAAUCUGUGGGCUUCAGGUCAGAACUCACUCAAUAGGGUGAUCCAAUCAAUAGGAUCUUGACCAAAACUGAGCAAAGGUCUUCUUCUGAGAGGAAAGGCACUCCAGCACCCGCUCUUACCAAAUAGUCAUACGACAGAGAAGUACAUGAGAAAAUAUACCCAAAAUACCUUAGAAUUUGUUUUUUGACAACACAUUGUAGAGGGCGAGCUGUUGACUUUUGUCCAUCUUUAUUCUGGUGCUGUUAUAGGUCCGCUCUUUAUUUAGAGACCGUCCUUGGCACUUCGUUAACAUGUGUUCCACAUCGCGAAAUAACUAAAACAAUGGGGAAAUCAUUCUUUUUUGCAACAGUAACUUGCUUUUCCAAAAAAAUAAUGAAUCUGAGCAUCUCUCUCCUAAAGAAAUGGUUAAAAUGCAAGUUGGCCAUCAAUCAGCAAAUAGAGGGAACAGUUUCCGGGGCUAUAUGGCUGGUAAGAACUCUCAUCUUCAAAACUAAGUAUUUAUUUAUUUAUCUUAAUGAAGGAGAGAGAGUGUACAUGAGUAGGAGGAAGGGCAGAGGGUGAGAAUCUCAAGCAGACGCCCACUGAGUGCAAUGCCCCAUGCAGGUCUCAAGACCCGUGAGAUCAGGACGUGAGCUGAAGUCAUGAGUCAGACGUUUAACUGACUGAGCCACUCAGGCUCCCCAGGCAUAUUACUUUUGUGUAUUUAUCAUCAUCAUACUUACUUCAUAAAAUUGUGUGAAGACCAAAUAAGAUACUAUACAUAAAUGGGUAAUCAUAUAAUUUAUCUUCCAAAUUGAGUUACUUUCCUGUUUCAGGAAGUCUUUCCUGUUUCAGUCAGUCAGUCAGUCAGCAAACAUUCAUCAGUCUACCAUAGGCCAAGUGCUGUGAUAGUGCUGAAGUAUACUGAUGAACAAGGCAGAAAAGACCAAAGAGGGGACUCAGAGAGAGAAACAGGGCAGAGAUUCGUGUUUUUAAUUAACUGAAAAUUAUCUGAGGCAGAGUAGUCAAGAAUGACCUCUCUGAUGCAGUCUUUGAAGUCAUUAAGGACAAGAAAUACCAUGGAGGGGGCAAAAAUGAGCCUUUUAAGUCCUUAAAAAUCACCCGCGGCUGGUGGCCAUAUGCUGACAGUGCACAUCGAAGUAUGAGCCGCCAAGGGUGUGUCCAUUCAGUCUGGUUCACUGUCAGCUCCGAUAACAGAAACAUUCAGUGGCAUACAGUGAGCAUUUGAUGUAUUUUGAAUGAGCCCAUGAAUGCGUGGUUUGCGGGGCCCUAUCGGAGGCAGUCAUUUUGGGGGUGGAAGUCAAAGCUUCCAUUUUGGACUCAUCAGUCUGAGGUAUCUGUGAAGCAUCUAAGUAAAGAAGUCGAGAAAGGAAGUAGAUAUGAGAGUCUGGGACGGAGAAGAUCUGGGUGGAGAUGUAAAUUUGGCACCUUGAUGGGUCUUCAAUCCAAAGGAAUCAUGGUGGAUUACCUUGGGAAAAAGCACACAGAAAAGAAAGGGCCCAACACCUUACCCUCAGAUAUACCAACAUUUCAAUGUUAAGUGACAGAAGAGGAAAAUCAGGGAAGUGUGGUGGUGCCGAGAAAUCAAAGGAGUAAAUGCUUCAAGGAGAAAGGAGUGGUCAGCUACUGAGAGGGCAAGUAUUAACAACAACAAAAAAAGGUAGGUGCAUCGAGAUCUUAACAAUGAUCCUGCCACACAUUCCACAAUCAUGACCUCUGUUAAGUCCUCCUUAUAAUGCUUUGAGUCAAAGAGAGAUUUUUUUUUUUUUAGUACAAAGAAAUUUGGCCUCCAAAAGCCCAACUGGUUCAGGGAAGAACCAGAUCUAGGCCCUAACACUCUUUUUCUUUUUCUUUUAAGAUUUUAUUUAUUCAUUUGUCAGAGAGAGAGAGAACACAAGCAGAGCGGAGGAGCGGCAGGCAGAGAGAGAGGGAGAAAGGGCUCCCCGAUGAGCAGGGAACCUGAUGUGGGACUUGAUCCCAGGACUCUGGAAUCAUGACCUGAGCCAAGGUCAAAGGCAAAUGAUUAACCAACUGAGCCACCCAGGCGUCCCAAGGCCCUAAGCCUCUUGGUCCAGCAUUAUUUACAGAACAUAUUUUAAAGCACCGGGAACGAUAAGAAACCAUGGAGGUUUAUAGACAAAGUGUGGCUAUCUGUGACUUCACCAAGUUUAGGUGUUUUGAGAAUACAUGUACAUUUGGCAGUAUCUUUCAGGUAUGGAACUAGACCAAGAUUACAUGAUCGGGAUUUCUUGCAAGUCUCCGAAGUGCCUUCUGCCCUUCAUUUAUAAUACCUAAAAUUCUUACCACACUGUUCCUCAUAGGACUCGGUUUCUCAACUCAUCUUAGGCAAUGCAGGAAUACUGCUUCCGCAGUGCAUUAAUGUCAAUUAAUAACUUCAUUCAGGAGAAAGAUAGUUUGCAAACACUUUCCAAGUGUGGUGUUCAUAGGUAAAUUAAGCUUUCUUUGCUGCCUUUCAAAAC
rnacentral:lncRNA from 1 species